rnacentral:misc_RNA from 1 species
GUACCAGAAAAAGAUGUAAUUGAGUUAAAAAUAUGAACUCUCACAGCCCAAACUUGAAGAGGACGGUGAGACCUAAAACAACAAACCAAAUGCGUCUAAGCUGCUCCAAAAAACUGCUCCAAAGACGUUGAACUGAAGACAUUUAUAGCUGUUCUUUCUGACUUGGUAGGCGUAACGUGUAGCUCAUAUUUGAUAAAUCUCGCUAAUUGGAAAACAAUUUCUGGAUUUGUAUCAAUGUGCCAAUCAGGUUCCAGUUGUCGCACAAAUGAUGUUCG